rnacentral:tRNA from 1 species
AGAGAGGUGGCUUAGUGGUUAAGAACAUUGGCUGCUCUUCCAAAGGAUCUGGGUUCAAUUCCCGGCACCUCCA